rnacentral:lncRNA from 1 species
GCCUUUAGCAUUAAACCUCUAUCUUUCAUUUUCAAGCAGACUCAUUGAUUUUAUGUCUUGCUACAAUCUGAAUAAAGAAAGCUUAGAUAGACAAGCUUUCCCUGUCCUUUUGGAAUGUAAAAUCUAAGAGAUGUAUCUGGAAUUGGUCUAAAAUACGCAGAAUACCCCACUGGAAACAACAAAAGUUAAUAACCUUGAAAUAAUUUUAGCUUUUCUUUAAUAUUAAGUGCUCAGCUAACUAGUACUAUGCAUUAAGUAUUAAACCAUCUUAAGUAAACUGAUUAACUAUGAUUAAU